UUGUUUCGUACCGUUCUAUCCUUCUUUGAGCAUGCGCAGUGGUCUGUAUAUAAGAGAGUUUCUAAACAAAAAUAAUAAGAAAAAGAAAAGUAUGGGAGAGGGAGUAGAAACAGAGAGAAACGUCUUUUCUUGAAGAAACGUCUUUUCUUGAAGAAACGUUCACCGAACUUUGAGUAGUGGGAAGGUACCCUUCACGACGUACUCUUCACUAAUGAUGUCCUUAGCUUCCUAAUGGUAAUUGAGGAUUGAACGGUAGGGGACAAGCGGUUCAACUGCGGUGCGAUUCUAACAGUUAUAUAGUACUGUUAACUGCGGUGCGAGGCAGAAAGAUGACUACAGCCGACAAUUCUACAUGCCGUAUGAGGAUUCACGUCUGACUGCAUCAUCUGAGCCGCCCUAUAGGAUCCAUGCUUGACGGUACUCCUUGCGUCAUGCUGCAGAUCUCUUGUAAGUUUUUUCUUCUUUAAUUUGCAUAACUCCACAUUUUCUGGAAAUUGAAAUCCAGACCCCUUGUGUAGAAUCAUUAGUGAACCCUUAGUCAAACCGUUGGACCAAGUUGGCUUCCACUUUUUUAACACAUUAUGAUAGAGAAACAAAUAUAACACCAAAAAAACAGGAGGGGUAGAGUUCACGUGCUUGUCACGCGGGAUAUAGUUGUGGACACACGAGCCUCGUACGGUGUAAAGAUGGAGAGUAGCAAGGGCCGCACGAUUCGCACUUGGGAUGUUGACUUGUCAAUUAGUUGAAGGAUCAUGUACAUAAUUAAUGAUUAAAUACUUGCCAUUGAUAAUAUGCCACGUUGUAUAUUGACAAUGGGACCACCUAUAAUAUCCAAAUAACAUGAUUAAUAGAGAGCCCUUUAGACCAGCUCCAUCGACGAGUUCAGGAAAGGUUCUAAGGGGAAAAAGACAAAAAAAAUAAAUGAAAAAUGCAAAAAUAUGAAAGAACCGGUGUUUAAUUAGGAGAAAGUAGAAGUGGUAAAAACCCCUAAUGUGGCGGAUCCGUAUUGGCUUAAAAAAAGAGUGUGAAAUCAGUUUCUCUCCUUCGCCGUGCUUUGUGCGAAAUCAGUUUCUCUUCUUCCUCCAUUCUCGAUCACUCCGUCUCCUCUCUCAAAUCUCAUCUCAUCCUUCUGGGUUAGGCAAAAUCUCCUUCUGAAGCUAUGAUGAAGAUCAGAAGGGAAGAAGGCUUCAAGAGAAUGAUUGUUUCUGGAAAUCGAUGGUGGGAAUGAGCGUUCAACGGGAAGCCGACGAAGACGGCAAGAUCUCACGGGAAGAAGUUUCAGGUCACGGUGGAGAAGGAGACAUCAAGGAUUUUGUUGUAGAGCCUGAUUGGGAAGUUUUAUUGAAACUGAUUGGGAAGUUUUGUGAAUGUAAUGUCUUAUGUGUUGGACUUGUACAAAAGAAAAGCUACUUGUCCUUGGUGGAAAUGGGUUUGUGGGAUCACAUGUCUGUAAAGAAGCUUUAGAUUGCGGCUUAUCUGUCUCUAGCCUUACCAGAUCAGGUAGGUCGUCUGUACAAGAGUCAUGGGCUUCCAGAGUUACAUGGCAUCAAGGUACUUGUUAGAUCACUUCAACAUGUUUUAGGAACUAGAAUGUUUCCUCUAUGCUACUUCCAGAGUUACAUGGCAUCAAGAAACAUAAGGAAAGGGAGAAGAAGAAGAAAAUAAAAGAAAGAAAAAAGAAGAAAUAAAUGUAUGAUCAAACGGUUGUGACUGAACAAAGGUAGAUAAUGUAAUAUUAUAUAAAAUACACAUAAUACUCUAGUCUAUAGAUCGUUAUGUGUACAAACUUAAUUUAUGUAUUUGUUACGUAUAUGUGUUCUAAUUUCCUUUUAUUCAAAGCUAGCUAAUUUGGAGUUUAUUUAUUAUAAUUUUAUGACAAGGUCAUUAAACAGGGAUGUAUUGAUUGAUAUAUGCAUGAUAAAUUUUCAAUCGGUUUGUAAGAUUAA